rnacentral:rRNA from 1 species
GGGCCCGCACAAGCGGUGGAGUAUGUGGUUUAAUUCGAUGCAACGCGAAGAACCUUACCAGGGUUUGACAUCCUGCGAAUCUCUUGGAAACGAGAGAGUGCCUUCGGGAACGCAGUGACAGGUGGUGCAUGGCUGUCGUCAGCUCGUGUCGUGAGAUGUUGGGUUAAGUCCCGCAACGAGCGCAACCCACGUCUUUAGUUGCCAGCAUUUAGUUGGGCACUCUAGAGAGACUGCCGGUGAUAAACCGGAGGAAGGUGUGGAUGACGUCAAGUCAUCAUGCCCCUUACAUCCUGGGCUACACACGUACUACAAUGCUACGGACAGACGGCCGCAAACCCGCGAGGGGAGCCAA